rnacentral:rRNA from 1 species
GAUGAACGCUGGCGGCGCGCCUAAUACAUGCAAGUCGAGCGAACAGACGAGGAGCUUGCUCCUCUGACGUUAGCGGCGGACGGGUGAGUAACACGUGGAUAACCUACCUAUAAGACUGGGAUAACUUCGGGAAACCGGAGCUAAUACCGGAUAAUAUAUUGAACCGCAUGGUUCAAUAGUGAAAGACGGUUUUGCUGUAACUUAUAGAUGGAUCCGCGCCGCAUUAGCUAGUUGGUAAGGUAACGGCUUACCAAGGCAACGAUGCGUAGCCGACCUGAGAGGGUGAUCGGCCACACUGGAACUGAGACACGGUCCAGACUCCUACGGGAGGCAGCAGUAGGGAAUCUUCCGCAAUGGGCGAAAGCCUGACGGAGCAACGCCGCGUGAGUGAUGAAGGUCUUCGGAUCGUAAAACUCUGUUAUUAGGGAAGAACAAAUGUGUAAGUAACUAUGCACGUCUUGACGGUACCUAAUCAGAAAGCCACGGCUAACUACGUG